GUUGGAUUGCAGCCAACCGCUCAGCCUUCUGGAGAGAUUUGCUCUGGUGUGUCAACUGCACCUACAAGUCCUUGUGGUUCUUCUCCAACAUUUGGCCAAACAUCUGUAAAUCCUCAUUCCAUCACAAGUACCAAUCCAUUUGGUGUGUCUAAUUCCCCGGUAUUUGGAACAGUAGGCACAUUUGGAGCAUCAAGCGCACCAGCUUUUGGCACUUCUCUCACUCAUGCUUUUGGAGCAUCAAAUUCUGCUUUUGGCACUUCCAAGACUCCUGUUUUUGGAGUGUCAAAUUCUGCUUUUGGCUUUUCCGACACUCCUACUUUUGGAUCAUCUUCUACUCCUUCAUUCAGCUCUGGGUCUAGCCCUGCUUUUGGCCAAUCAACACCAGCAUUUGCCAGUAGUCCUUUUGGAACAACUACAAUUGGAGCACAGAGUUCUUUUGGUGAGUAACCAAGCCUACUUGAUCAUAGACUUCGAAACUACUUGUACAGUUAGGCAGAAAUAUAUAUUUUCAUGGGCCUUACAUGAUUUAAGGUCAAGGGAAUUCGUAUACGUAUACAUAUAUAUAUUAUUUAAAAUUCUUUGAGUUCUCAUGUAGGACCCUGAUCUUCUGCACCAGCAUUUGGACAGUCAACUUUUGGGGCUCAACGUGGGGGAAGAAGAGUUGCUUCUUACACGCCUACAAUUGACGCUGAUAGUAGCAUUGGUACACAGAUGUUCGAGUCAAUUUCAGCUAUGCCUGUUUACAAAGAUAAAAGUCAUGAGGAGCUGAGAUGGGAGGAUUAUCAAUUAGGAGAUAAAGGUACCUUUGUAAAAUAUUAAGAAAACCUGGAAGUUAUUCAUUAUUCUUUCCCAUGUUCAUUAUCGACUAACUUGCUGUAAUAAUUUGACUGUCAGUUGGACUGCAGCCAACCGCUCAGCCUUCUGGAGAGAUUUGCUCUGGUGUGUCAACUGCACCUACAAGUCCUUGUGGUUCUUCUCCAACAUUUGGCCAAACAUCUGUAAAUCCUCAUUCCAUCACAAGUACCAAUCCAUUUAGUCUAAAAUCUCCAUCCUUCAGCAGUGUAGGCUUUGCAACCUCGACUACUACCUCAAACCCUUCCCAA
rnacentral:lncRNA from 1 species